rnacentral:rRNA from 1 species
UUUAAUAGGGCGACUAGUCGCUAGGAGUAGACCCGAAACCGGCGCGAUCUAUCCAUGGCCAGGUUGAAGAUUAGGUAGUACUAAUUGGAGGACCGAACCCAAUACUGUUGCAAAAGUAUGGGAUGAGCUGUGGAUCGGAGUGAAAGGCUAAUCAAGCACGGAGAUAGCUGGUUCUCCCCGAAAACUAUUUAGGUAGUGCCUCGUGUAUAACUCAUUGGGGUAAAGCACUGUUUCGACAAUGGGGGUUUUACGACCUUACUGACUCGAUGCAAACUCAGAAUACGAUGAAGUUCGAUCACGGGAGACACACUGCGGGUGCUAAGGUCCGCAGUGGAAAGGGAAACAGCCCAGACCGCCAACUAAGGUCCCAAAGUCAUAGCUAAGUGGGAAACGAAGUGGGAAGGCCCAGACAGCCAGGAGGUUGGCUUAGAAGCAGCCACCCUUUAAAGAAAGCGUAAUAGCUCACUGGUCGAGUCGGCCUGCACGUAAGAUUUAACGGGGCUAAGCUAUGCACUGAAGUUGCGGAAUAUAUUUAGUAUAUUGGUAGGGGAGCGUUCUGUAAGCCGAUGAAGGUGAAUUGAGAAGUUUGCUGGAGGUAUCAGAAGUGCGAAUGCUGACAUGAGUAACGUAAAAUAAGUGAGAUUCUUAUUGGCCGAAAACCCAAGGGUUCCUACGCAAUGUUAAUCAACGUAGGGUAAGCCGGCCCCUAAGGCGUAGCUGAAGAGUGAAGUCGAUGGGAAACAGGUUAAUAUUCCUGUGCUGCUUAUAUGAACGAAGGAGGGACGGAGAAGGUUAGGUAGGCCUGGCGAAUGGUUGUCCAGGUGAAAGUAUGUAGGUAGGAAUGCUAGGCAAAUCCGGUGUUCUGUUGAUCUGAGAUACGAGACGAAGUUAAACUUGUUUGACGAAGCUAUUGAUACCAUGCUUCCAGGAAAAGCUUCUAAGUAUAUUGUAUAAGUGACCGUACUGUAAACCGACACUGGUGGGUAGGUAGAGAAUACUAAGGCUAUGAGAUAACUCUGGUGAAGGAACUAGGCAAAAUGACACCGUAACUUUGGAAGAAGGUGUGCCCUUGAUGGUGAUGAGACUUGCUCUUUGAGCUGUUGGGGGUUGCAGAUACCAGGUGGCUGCGACUGUUUAUCAAAAACACAGCACUCUGCGAAAUCGUAAGAUGAAGUAUAGGGUGUGACGCCUGCCCGGUGCUGGAAGGUUAAUUGAAGGGGUUAGCGCAAGCGAAGCUCUGGAUCGAAGCCCCAGUAAACGGCGGCCGUAACUAUAACGGUCCUAAGGUAGCGAAAUUCCUUGUCGGGUAAGUUCCGACCUGCACGAAUGGCGUAACGAUGGCCACACUGUCUCCACCAGAGACUCAGUGAAAUUGAAAUCGCUGUGAAGAUGCAGUGUACCCGCGGUUAGACGGAAAGACCCCGUGAACCUUUACUAUAGCUUUGCACUGGACUUUGAAUAUUUAUGUGUAGGAUAGGUGGGAGACCAUGAAGCAGCUACGCCAGUAGUUGUGGAGUCGUCCUUGAAAUACCACCCUUGAAUAUUUGAAGUUCUAACUCAGGAGAGAUUCGAGGACAGUGUAUGGUGGGUAGUUUGACUGGGGCGGUCUCCUCCUAAAGAGUAACGGAGGAGUACGAAGGUGCACUCGGUACGGUCGGAAAUCGUGCCAAGAGUAUAAAGGCAAAAGUGCGCUUGACUGCGAGAGUGACGGCUCGAGCAGGUACGAAAG